ACAACUUUCAACAAUGGAUCUCUUGGCUCUCGCAUCGAUGAAGAACGCAGCGAAAUGCGAUACGUAAUGUGAAUUGCAGAAUUCCGUGAAUCAUUGAAUCUUUGAACGCACCUUGCGCCCCUUGGUAUUCCGAGGGGCAUGCCUGUUUGAGUGUCAUUGA
rnacentral:rRNA from 1 species